AGUGAACGCUGGCGGUAGGCCUAACACAUGCAAGUCGAACGGCAGCACAGUAAGAGCUUGCUCUUACGGGUGGCGAGUGGCGGACGGGUGAGGAAUACAUCGGAAUCUACUUUUUCGUGGGGGAUAACGUAGGGAAACAUACGCUAAUACCGCAUACGACCUACGGGUGAAAGCAGCGGAUCUUCGGACCUUGCGCGAGUGAAUGACCCGAUGUCGGAUUAGCUAGUUGGCGGGGUAAAGGCCCACCAAGGCGACGAUCCGUAGCUGGUCUGAGAGGAUGAUCAGCCACACUGGAACUGAGACACGGUCCAGACUCCUACGGGAGGAAGCAGUGGGGAAUAUUGGACAAUGGGCGAAAGCCUGAUCCAGCCAUACCGCGUGGGUGAAGAAGGCCUUCGGGUUGUAAAGACCUUUUGUUGGGAAAGAAAAGCAGCAGGUUAAUACCCCGCUGUUCUGACGGUACCCAAAGAAUAAGCACCGGCUAACUUCGUG
rnacentral:rRNA from 1 species